CCGACUAGUUCCGGGUU
rnacentral:tRNA from 2 species